UGCCAGCCGCCGCGGUAAUACGGAGGGUGCAAGCGUUGUCCGGAUUUAUUGGGUUUAAAGGGUGCGUAGGCGGUUUGAUAAGUCAGUGGUGAAAUACUUCAGCUCAACUGGAGAGGUGCCAUUGGAAACUGGCGAACUUGAGUACGGGAGAGGAAAGUGGAAUUCCGAGUGUAGGGGUGAAAUCCGUAGAUAUUCGGAGGAACACCAGUGGCGAAGGCGGCUUUCUGGACCGAUACUGACGCUGAGACGCGAAAGCGUGGGGAGCAAACAGGAUUAGAUA
rnacentral:rRNA from 1 species